rnacentral:lncRNA from 1 species
AAAAAAAUCAAUUAUUUUUACCUAAAAUAUAAGCAUAUAUGUAUAAACAACUAUCAUGCUGGCAUAUUACACAUCUUUAUUACUAAAAAUGAAUUUAUUUACCCCUAAAACUGACAUGACAAAAAAAUAAUAACAAGAAAACAUAAUCACGUGCAUCAAAAAAAUUAAAGUUAAAAAAAAUAAUAAAAAAUCAAAAUAUUCCUUACCC